UGUGUAAUGUGGUUUGCCUACUUCCUCCAUUACAAUAUUUUAACAUUUACAUCAAGUCUAUUUCCAUUUUUACAGACUAUCUACCACAGUGGGAACGACUGUUUUUAUUGUUAUUAAUUUAACAAAUUUUACAAUAAAUACCACAAAACAACAGGGAAAUUAUAACUUCCUGUGGAACUGUCAUUCUUGUCAUGUCACCAUUCAGAAUUUCCGUUAUCAAAAUCACUUGCUUCCAUACAGUCAUGAUGUGAACUUGUCAGAUAGAGCUCAUUGGUACCUCGGGCGAAAAACAUUGGAUAUCUUAAUCAUCCAUGUUAUAAUUCACAUCUUAGUCAUAUGUUCCGAUGACGGAUCAAUUGUAAAGGGUUUUUACCCUGUUAUUUUUACUUUGGUGGCUUGCAUGUAGAUUCUAAGAUUGCACUGAUGAUGAUCGGUCAACCGAUUGAAAACUAGUUCUGUCUUUGAUGUAGCCCUGUAUAGGGAUUUUAACAAAUAUACCUUUUAUAAAGGAUUUUAUGUUUAUGAUUUUACCAUUGAUUUUACCCCAUAGUAAAGUCAGUCACGUCAAUCAUUUCUUGAUUUUUUUGUUUAAAGAUGUUUAAAAAUACAGAUUUUUUUGUUUAAAGGAAAUUUAAAGUUUGAGGUUUUAAAUAAAUGUUUGUGAAAGUGUA